rnacentral:rRNA from 1 species
GCUAUACAUGCAAGUCGAACGAGAUUUAAGACUUCGGUUUUAAUGAAAGUGGCGCACGGGUGCGUAACGCGUAUGCAACCUACCCUAUACAGGGGGAUAGCCCGGAGAAAUCUGGAUUAAUACCCCAUGGUAUCAUUGAGCUGCAUGGUUUAAUGAUUAAAGAUUCAUCGGUAUAGGAUGGGCAUGCGUCUGAUUAGCUAGUUGGCGGUGUAACGGACCACCAAGGCGACGAUCAGUAGGGGUUCUGAGAGGAAGGUCCCCCACACUGGCACUGAGAUACGGGCCAGACUCCUACGGGAGGCAGCAGUAGGGAAUAUUGGGCAAUGGACGAGAGUCUGACCCAGCCAUGCCGCGUGCAGGAAGACGGCGUUCUGCGUUGUAAACUGCUUUUAUCUGGGAAGAAAAGGCCCUUGCGAGGGACAUUGCCGGUACCAGAUGAAUAAGCACCGGCUAACUCCGUGCCAGCAGCCGCGGUAAUACGGAGGGUGCAAGCGUUGUCCGGAUUUAUUGGGUUUAAAGGGUGCGUAGGCGGCUGUUUAAGUCAGUGGUGAAAGACUCCGGCUCAACCGGAGCAGUGCCAUUGAUACUGGACAGCUUGAGUAUUGGAGGGGUACAUGGAAUUGAUGGUGUAGCGGUGAAAUGCAUAGAUACCAUCAGGAACACCGAUAGCGAAGGCAUUGUACUGGCCAAUAACUGACGCUGAUGCACGAAAGCAUGGGUAGCGAACAGGAUUAGAUACCCUGGUAGUCCAUGCCGUAAACGAUGAUUACUCGCUGUUAU